rnacentral:rRNA from 1 species
UACGUAGGGUGCGAGCGUUAAUCGGAAUUACUGGGCGUAAAGCGUGCGCAGGCGGUUUUGUAAGCCAGAUGUGAAAUCCCCGGGCUUAACCUGGGAAUGGCAUUUGGGACUGCAAGGCUGGAGUGCGGCAGAGGAGACUGGAAUUCCUGGUGUAGCGGUGAAAUGCGCAGAUAUCAGGAGGGACACCGGUGGCGAAGGCGGGUCUCUGGGCCGAUACUGACGCUGAGGAGCGAAAGCGUGGGUAGCAAACAGG